CUCUGGGACGUCAAUAAUCACCCACACGUAGCUGGCAUCGUCGCGUUGCUGAAAGCUAUGCACCCAGACUGGUCUCCUGCUGCUAUAAAAUCAGCCAUAAUCACCUCAGCCCAUAUAACCGACGAGCGCGGUAUGCCGAUACUGGCAGAAGGGUUGACCCGGAAAAUCGCCGAUCCUUUCGACUAUGGUGGCGGGAAUAUCAACCCUCAUGGUGCAGCCGACCCCGGCCUUGUUUAUGACAUCCAUCCCCGUGAUUACAGCAAAUUCUUCGGAUGCACAAUCAUCAGGAGGAUGAACGUGACAUGCAAUGCGACGGCACUACCAGCUUACCACUUGAACCUGCCCUCCAUUGCUGUCCCUGAGUUGAGGCAUUCGGUAACCGUGUCCAGGACAGUGACGAAUGUCGGAAAGGUCAAUUCUGUGUACCGUGUUGUUGUCCAGAGUCCAGCCAGUGUGAGGAUGGAGGUUGAGCCUCCCGUGCUCGUGUUUGAUGUGGCAAACAAAGUGCAGACGUUUAAGGUGAAGCUGUCGCCGAAGUGGAAGCUGCAGGGGGACUACAUGUUUGGCAGCAUUACUUGGCGUAGUGACCGGAAGGCCGUGAGAAUCCCGGUUGCAGCCCGAAUCACGGUUCAGGAUUUU
rnacentral:rRNA from 1 species